GAUGAACGCUGGCGGCGUGCUUAACACAUGCAAGUCGAACGGAAAGGCCCAAGCUUGCUUGUGUACGCGAGUGGCAAACGGGUGAGUAACACGUGGGUUAUCUGCCCUGCACUUCGGGAAAAGCCGGGGAAACUGGGUCUAAUUGCGGAUAGGACUAUGGUUGGUAGGCCGUUGGGGAAAGUUGUUUCGGUGUGGGAUGAGCUCGCGGCCUAUCAGCUUGUUGGUGGGGUAAUGGCCUACCAAGGCGUCGACGGGUAGCCGGCCUGAGAGGGUGUACGGCCACAUUGGGACGGAGAUACGGCCCAGACUCCUACGGGAGGCAGCAGUGGGGAAUAUUGCACAAUGGGCGCAAGCCUGAUGCAGCGACGCCGCGUGGGGGAUGACGGCCUUCGGGUUGUAAACUCCUUUCGCUAGGGACGAAGCGUUUUUGUGACGGUACCUGGAGAAGAAGCACCGGGUAACUACGUG
rnacentral:rRNA from 1 species